GGAUGUGAGGGUUCUCGGGCUGGGACAUCUGUCACCCCAUUGAUUGCCAGGGAUGAUGCGAUUGAUCUGGCUAUCGAGGCUGGUGUUCCCUUCCCCCCCUUACCAGUCCAUGUGCAUCCUUCCCAGAGCUGCGUGCUGUGUUCCUGGACAGAAGGCCUGCUCUCCAGUCAAGGUAACAGGAGUAACCCCCUCAAACCCUUGCCCCACAUUUACCCCUGACUCUGGAGUCUGGAAUUUUCAGACAAACUCAGA
rnacentral:snRNA from 1 species